rnacentral:tRNA from 1 species
GAAACCGUGCCUGAACCAAAGGGCCACUUUGAUAGAGUGGAUCAUGAAGGUGAAAACCCUUCCGGCUUCU